GACGUAGGGCGCGAGCGUUGUCCGGAUUUAUUGGGCGUAAAGAGCUCGUAGGCGGCUUGUCGCGUCGUCCGUGAAAACCUGCAGCUCAACUGCAGGCUUGCGGUCGAUACGGGCAGGCUGGAGUUCGGUAGGGGAGACUGGAAUUCCGAGUGUAGAGGUGAAAUUCGUAGAUAUUCGGAAGAACACCAGUGGCGAAGGCGGGUCUCUGGGCCGAUACUGACGCUGAGGAGCGAAAGCGUGGGGAGCGAACAGG
rnacentral:rRNA from 1 species